rnacentral:rRNA from 1 species
UACGUAGGCAGCGAGCGUUGUUCGGAGUUACUGGGCGUAAAGCGUGCGUAGCGGUGCCAUAAGUCUGUUGUGAAAUCUCCCGGCUUAACUGGGAGGGCCGUGGCGAAACUGCCUGGCUUGAGGUCGGAAGGGGAAAGUGGAAGUUCCGGGUGUAGUGGUGGAAUACGUAGAUAUCCGGAGGAACACCAGCGGCGAAGGCGGCUUUCUGGUCCGAUUCUGACGCUGAGGCGCGAAAGCGUGGGGAGCGAGUCCGG